rnacentral:rRNA from 1 species
UGGGGAAUAUUGCACAAUGGGCGAAAGCCUGAUGCAGCAACGCCGCGUGAGUGAUGAAGGCCUUCGGGUUGUAAAGCUCUGUCUUUUGGGACGAUAAUGACGGUACCAAAGGAGGAAGCCACGGCUAACUACGUGCCAGCAGCCGCGGUAAUACGUAGGUGGCAAGCGUUGUCCGGAAUUACUGGGCGUAAAGAAUGCGUAGGUGGAUAUGCAAGUCAGAUGUGAAAUACCCGGGCGCAACUUGGGUGCUGCAUUUGAAACUAUAUAUCUAGAGUGCAGGAGAGGAAAGCGGAAUUCCUAGUGUAGCGGUGAAAUGCGUAGAGAUUAGGAAGAACACCAGUGGCGAAGGCGGCUUUCUGGACUGUAACUGACACUGAGGCAUGAAAGCGUGGGG